UACGGAGGGCGCAAGCGUUGUUCGGAAUUAUUGGGCGUAAAGCGCGUGUAGGUGGCUUGGUAAGUUGGAUGUGAAAGCCCGGGGCCCAACCCCGGAACUGCAUUCAAAACUCCCAAGCUAGAGUCCCGGAGAGGAUGGCGGAAUUCCCGGUGUAGAGGUGAAAUUCGUAGAUAUCGGGAGGAACACCAGUGGCGAAGGCGGCCAUCUGGACGGUGACUGACACUGAGACGCGAAAGCGUGGGGAGCAAACAGGAUUAGAUACCCCGGUA
rnacentral:rRNA from 1 species